rnacentral:lncRNA from 1 species
AUGUCUAAAUACUCAAAGAUGUUUAUAUUGCAUACAUUCAGCUUUAAUUGGCCCUUAAAAGAAGGUGUUGAUUAGAAUCUGCUCAACAUCAACAGCUAGCUCACACAACAUUCUGUAAUUACUGUUUAUUAAUUUAGUUCAAGUGGCAUAGUUGAAAGCCCUGUUCAGAUGGGAGAAGUAAAUUGUCACUGGUAUUGAAUAUGUAAAUUAUGUGCAUUGUAAAUUUCCAUGAAGAAAUGUUUAAAGUUAAAUGCUGUGCAUAUAAACCCUUCUGGUUUUAUCUAACUUGGCCCUGGGAGUGGAACCAGGUCUUCGCUCAGAAAGCACAUGGCACAGCAAGCCAGUAGGGGCAAAGCCUCCCCAGGACCACGCAUCUUACCUAGAGCUUGUAAAAUGAGAUUUUUGUAAUCAAGUUUUGUUGCAUGUGUUCCCUUUUUCAUGAAACAAGGCAACGCUAAUGUGCCCUCUUUAUUCUUGUUCACAAAGCCCUUCCAUGGAGUUCCCCCACCAGGUUCUUCUCUGCCUGUUUGGCAAUCCUGUAAAUUCCCUUGCUGCCUUGAGGAAGCUUCUAGAAUGACGCUGUUGGGCAGCAUGCUGAAAAAGAUGGGAUUGAAGACAGUGUUUCUUCAGCCAAGUGCCAAGAUAAGUUACUUCUUUUUUCCUUCCCCUGGAGUGGCAGAGACAGCAGAAACUGGAGCAAGUGCUGGCAGGCUUGUUCGGGAAGCCCAAACUCUCUGAUCUCUGGAAGCUGUAUUAAGGGCUCUGGGUAGCCUUCUCACAAGGGUGUGGCUUAACAUAGCAGCAAUCACUUUAUUCCAUUAACAAUUAUCUUGGAUUUCUACCGUAUUAAGAUGGUAUUAAGUGAAGUUUUCCUUCAAACAUCAACCAAAACACACUUGUUUUUUUCUUGUAGUGAUGGGGCUUUCAGUAAAUGACUUAAUCCACGCAUUCCUUGGAUAUUUUUUACCUGUAAAGUGGAGAAAAUAACAACCUCCUUCAGGAUUGGAUGCAAAGAUGAAAUAAGAUAAUGUUGGCAAAGUGCUUAGCAGAGUGCUUACUGUCUGCUAAUAAUACACAGACAGUAGUGUUGUCAGCAGAUGUCUCAAAAAAUGAGAAUCUGACUAUAAAUGAUCUGAGAGAAAAAAAAGGCCCAACUGUUCCUGGGACUAAUUAUGAUGGUUCCAAGGAGAAUGUGCACGCUUUCACUUUUCCUUUAUGAAGUGUUCCUGAAGAAAGCCUUGUGAUUGAAAUAACCCUUUUGGAUGAUAGCUGGCAUUUUCGGAAGUAAUAGUAAUACUACUGCAGACACACGGAGCGGAAGUCGUGGAAAUGCAAAGUGCCGCACAAACGCUGCCUGACAGGCUCCAACCAUCACUGCAGAGGAUGGUGGCGGCGUCAGGAGGCUCCUCUGGAUUGCUGUAUAGUGCUCUACUUAGUGCCUUAUGUUGGGAAGUCUUCUGUGCUUUUGAAGAAAGAGGAGAGGCCAUUCUUCCAGGAAUGAUUCAGCAAGAGAGGUGUACUUGUGCCUACCUUGUGGUUUUAAGCUUGACACAUGGGCUCUGACUUUGAGCAAGGCUGAACUGUAUUUGUCCUAGAAGCAACAUGACUUUACAGACUGAAUGGUGCCCUUGUCAACACUCACAUGUGGAAGUCCUCAUCUCCAGAACUUAGACUGUAUCUAUAUUUGGAGGAAGAAGAAUCUAGGACCUGGAUUGUGUGUAAAAUAUGUGUAUUUAGGGUUUCUGGAAGAAAAGAUGAUCGUGAGCCCUUCAACAAGAAUGUGGUUUCAUUACGCAUCUUCUGAAGGCAGCCCAUGGUCUUCCGCAGCAUCAGCAUCACUUUGGAUUUCCAUCAACAAGGCAGAAAGCUCUCGGUCUCUCUACUCCUUGCUAAUACUCGUGUCUUGGUUUUGGGAUAAUAGUCAUCCUAACAUUGGAAGAUUUAAACAACAGAAAGAAAACUUGUAGUGUCCAGGAAGCCCGUGAUUUCCUGCCCUUCAGCUUACUUGGAUUUGGUGAAGUCAGAGGAGAUGGGCCUGCAAAGCAUUUAUUGUCUGGGUCAUGGGGAUUACAGGUAACAGGUGAACCCGGAGGAACCACAUCACAGGAGCCAGGCUGUUUUGCACUGAAGCUGUUGAGCUUGUCAUGCAUAUGGUUGUCUCCAGAACCACCCAGCCCUCCUGAGAAACAACUAACACUAAUCUCAGAGGAUGACUGAGCUGAGCAAGAAAGACAGACACACUGGCAUCUCCAUCUUUUGGGCACUUGACUUUUUAUUCUGGGUUUUGAAAACCAACACAUUUUCUCUUUUGUCUAAGUCAGUUUGGGACUAGUUUCUCAUAGCAGUAACUGUCGCCCUGAAACACACAGUUAGAUGGAUAAAGAUUUACAUUUUAAGAUCAUUUCUUUGAUGAGUCUGUGAAAGGAAGAUGUGUGACAGUAAGACUGGAGGCAGAGAUCUAAUUAGGAAUCUAAUACAAUAAACAGAGGGAGACGAGGCUGUGUCAGCAAGCUCAGAGAAGGGCAUGGGAUCUGUUACUUACGAGAACUAGAGUGUUCACAAUGGGGUGUCUCAUUGUGAUGGCAGUUCAAGAAGCAGCCAGAAGUCACCAUCUCUAUGGCCUGUGGUAUGAGGAUGGUGAUGUCCUUGAAUAAAUGCUCAAUACGCAGGGAGGCCUGGUGUAGUGGUGAAAUGGGCCAUUCUGGGCAUGUUGAGUUAUGGGCUUGUGCAAGAGCAAAUAGACACAGCCAGAGACCACGUAUGAAAGGUCAGAGCCUUGGGUCUGAGAAGGCCUGCCUGCUGUUCAGAGCAGCCAUGUAGGUUAGACAUCCCAGGAAGGGUGUGCAGUGCAGAGGGGCGGAGCCUGAGCGUGGAACUCUGGGAAAGUAUAGAGGAGAAGCAGGCUAAAUGUUGCCAGAGAAUGUGUACAGCCAUGCUGAGGCUUGGAGCAGCUGAGCAUGUGGGCUGUGCAGGGCGCCCCUGGACCUCUGAGUGGGUUUUGUGAUUGGUGUGGUUCUUGUGAGCUUUGGAAGAGGGGCUCUGUGUGACCUUGAGAAGAGUAAGAGCUUUACAGCAGCUGCCACCUCUGCCCAUGGUGCUAGUGUGACGUUGUACAAGUUGAGACUUCCUCUCCCAGUCUAUGCAAUGCAGAUAGUAUGUCAUCACGAUGGGAUUGUUGUGGGGUGUCAGGGAGGUAUUAAUGAAAUCCUACGUCCAGAGCCUGCCACACAAAGACGUUCAAUGCAGGCCAGUCUCUUUCUUGCCAUGCUCUCCCUGUCAGCGCUGGCCACUGGCCACUUCUGUCUAUUGUUCAGAGGCAGAAGAGAAGAAGGUGACCUUCAAGUACCUGGAAUCAUUAAGCCUCAGCUGGCUUUGAAUUCGUUAUGUAGCCCAGCCUGUCCUUGAACUCCUGACCCUUCUGCCUUCAUUUCCCAAGCCCUGGAAUUACAGGCCUGUACCACCAUACCUACUUGCUGAAUAGUACUCAUGUCUCCUUCUUGUUCCUAUAACAAUUGAUAUAAAAGGUGGUAAGUAAGCAUGAAGAAGCAUUCAGAGAAGAGGGCGUGGGACCGUGGUGGUGGAAGGAAGAGGCGCUAGUCUCUAGCUCCCAGUGCUGAGGGAUCCCUGACUACACAGGGAUGAGCUGCUACUUAACUAUUGUGGACAGAACCAGUGCUGCUUGACGAUGGGCCACCAGUGGCCUUUGAAGUAGAAUCCUAGUUAAGCCUGAAGGCUAUUCAGGAAGGCAGAGCCCUUGUAGGGACACUGGAGAGUGGAAGGAGCUUUGCUCAUGAUAGGGGGUAUUUAAGGGGAUGGAAAGGUAUUGUUAUUUUCUUUUUCUAUUUUGUGUGUGUGUGUGUGUGUGUGUGUGUGUGUGUGUGUGUGUGUGUGUACUUGCAUGUAUACACAUGUAUUUGCAAGUGCUUGUAGAGGCCCUGGGUUGUUGUUGGGAAUCACUCAUAAUUGCUCUCACCCUGCUCAUUGAGGCAGAGUCUUUCCAUCAAACCCAGAGUUCACAGAUACAGCUGGCCUUGCUAGUCAGUGUGCUCCAUGGAGUCCCUGUCUCCACCCAAGUCUAGAAUGACAGAAGUCAUUCAUGUGGGUUUCUGAGGACCCAAACUCUCAUCCUCACACAUAUAUUGCAAAUACUUGAAUCACUAUCCAUCUCCUCAGUUCUGGGGCUUGCUACUUUCAUGGCAGUGUAUGUCCUGAAGAAGGCAAACUGGAGGGAAACUCAUCACACACAUGUCCCCCACACGGUAUGGGAAGCACUUUGAGUAAUCUGGUAGUUGUAGUAGGGGCAGACUCUCCUCACAGCAGUGCCAUUGGAAGAGUUUUCUGAGGCUCACCUCAUAGAAAGGGUGGAAGCAUGUAAGUUUACUCAAACUUUGUAAAUAACAUUUUAUUCCCAAUUGUCUCUAACUGAUAACCUAUAAAACACAAAUUCAUUUUGAAUAUAAAUUCAGAAAAUAUCUGAUAUUUUGUGUAUAAGAACUAUAACUUUAUUCAGUUACUUUUAUGGUGGUGUAUAUCUUUAAUCCUAGUACUUGGGAGGCAGAGGCUGGUAGAUUUCUGUGAGUUUAAGGCCAGCCUGGCCUAUAUAGUGAGUCCCAGAACAGUUAGAACUACAUAGUAAGACCCUGUUUCAAAAACUAAAACAAACAGAAGAAAGAAAUAUUACCGUAUUAAAGAAAUCCUUAAAACUAUCUGGUUUCCCAUUUCAUACCCCAAAUAUGGCCAGGAAGAAGAAGCCUCUAUUAUGGAGUUUAGAAAGGUUAUAUGUCUUGAAAGUCUGAGAAAGACAGGUUGACAGGUCUCUGUCCCUUCGCAGAUGUUAAGAUCAACACAGGAUCUGAAUUUUAAGAGAUUCCUUCAAAGGCUAGUGCACAUAUCCUUUUGACUGGUUUAAUUAACCCAUAUAGAUCAUUUUUUGUUAAGGUGAUAUUUGAUUAACUUCCCUUCAGCCCCUGGGAGGGUCUUAAGCAUGAGAAUUUCAUAUUCAUACACCAGAGAAAUGAACAACUAAGAUCAGAGCAGGAAAGAACAACAAGGCUGGUGUUGAGGAGCAGCAGGAAUUGAGGAGUGGCCAUCAUGCCAGAAAUCUGCAGGAGAAAAGGAGGCAGAAGCGUCCCAGAAUUCUGUGGUUCAACAAACCAGGAAUUCAGGGUCCAGGGGCACUAAAUAAUAUCCAUACCUUGUUUGGUGUGUGAUUUGCACAGUUUGGCUCCCAUGCUAUGAGCCUUUUAAGGACCUGGCUGGGUGUAUCCACUUCCAAGAAGGUUCAAUUCACAGUGCAUCAAACAGGAAAGGCCACCACCUCCUCCUGAAGCCCUCGAAUGGGACUGGAGAAUUAAGCAAAAACAUCCUCUUUCUUACAGUUCUAUCUUGUCUAAUUAGAUGUACGCAUCAGUACAUCUACUUAGUUAUAUUGUCACUUUUUUUAAAACAACCUACAAACUGGCAGAGCUUGACAAGGCUCUGAAUUACACGUGUAAGUGAAGAGCCAGCAGAUGGCGCCCUUUGUCGUUUAUUGAGGCUCUUACCCGCAGAGAAGAAUGUUGGCCUGGCUUCUUUCAUUUGAGUAGUACAAGUAGUGUUUUAACUGUUUAUUAUGCAUGAGCCAAAAGUCCAUGAAUGUGUAACAUUUUCUCCCAUAUUCCCCCUUUUAUAACAUCAUUUAAAUUCCUUAUUAAUAAUUUAAAAAUGUUCUGGAUUUUAAUCACUUUUCUCAUCACUAAAAUAUCUGAUGAAGAGAUAGGUUUUUUUUUCCCCCUGCUGAAGGUGAGAUAGAGGAAAUCAUCUGCGAGGAAGGAAGAAGAAACUCUCACUCUUAAAUCGAGCUCGCCACCCCCUCGAGCGCAUCACCCCAUCUUUUCAGUUUAAUUGAAUAGUAUUUAUUUAAUUAAUAAAAAUAUCUGUCUAGUGCAGGUUUCAGAAAUUCAAAGCUAGAAUAGGCUGCCAUUAAUAAAACAAGUUUUUUUUUUAUAUCCAAGUUUAAUUAUGGUGGUGUGUGUUUGAUAGCUUGUUACUGUAAAUAAAAGAGAUAAAGGCAGCCCUUCACUGGAGUAGCUGGAGAGCUGUGAAAUAUGUACCUAAUUAAAACUAUUGGUGUAAGAGGCUAAUAAAGUACAUGUGCC